ensembl:lncRNA
GUCCUUUGUCGGAAGCUGGUUUCCCAGGUAGCCUGUGUCGGAUAUAGAAACUUUCCAAGCAUUCCAAUAGCCUUUCCAGCAGUGCAUAGGUUUCCAAUAGCAGCCAAGAGCAGCUGUGGACUUCAGAGUUAUUGGCACAAAGAAGGACCAAGAAACUAAGGGUGGCCAGCCAAAUGCUGAAGACCACCGGCCAGCAGAGCCUACACACAGCAGACAGAUGGGGCUCUCAGGAGGGAAAAAGAAGUCCAGGAAAUAUUAAGAAUUGCUCAGUGAAGACCUGGGAUGCUGAGAGCCCUUCCAGUGCCCUUCCACUGUUCUCAACAGCAAACGGUUAAGGCUGUCUCUGGAGCUCAAGCAAUGAUCCAGGGAACAACAUGUGAGAGCUACAGCGGAUGGUCUCAGGAUGUUAAACAGAAGCAAAGACGACAAGAGCCUUGUCACUCGAGCAAAGGAUCAGAUACCAGCCCUGUAUUAAAACAGAGCGAUGAGAACAUCUGAGCCACCUUUCUGUUUGCUCACAAACCAUCUGCAAAGAAGUAACAGGAAAUAGCAGGAUGCAGAAGACAAAAGUUGCCCCAUACUUGAAGGAUGCCACUGAACAAAACCAAG